GUUACACUGGAUGGGGGGCAGGGGGUAUAGAGGACAGAGGAAGGAUCACAGAGGGAUCAACAUUUUUAUGUUGGUAUUAAUUUGGGUAUAAAACUUUUAAUAGCGUUUAUCAUUCACAGAGAAUGAAGAAAAGAAGUCUUGAACAGACGAAUAAGGAGACUCUCAUGUAUCAAGGAUUAUAACUAAUUCAUUUGUGUGCAGUUGACCUUGAGCCCACGAGGAAAAAAAGAAGUGAAUGACAUGAUAUAUGUAGUCUCCUAAUGUCAAGUGGAAAAAAAUGCAUCAAACUGUAUAUUUAGCAGGACUCCAAAGCCCUAUAAUGAAGAGCAUUCCUAGGAUAGCCCACUAUUCAGAGAAGAAGGAUGAGAGUUAUGUGGAUCAGAGCUGCCCCAGGCAACCUCCAGACCUGCAGUGAGAAGCAGAGCUGCGUAGCUCGGAACAGGCCAGCUCUACCCACCAGUACACACAUGCAGGCAAAAUGGAGGCCAUGGAUUAAGCCU
rnacentral:lncRNA from 12 species